UUUAAAAAGCUAAUUAACACACAGGGGAGCACAAGCAUGAGAAUCCAAUUCAGAAUCAACAGCUAGCUUAACGUAAAAAGACACACUAACACACAAACACGUCAGACUCUGAUACCAACACCCGCUAAAGAGGUUGGCCUAACUGCUGGUGCCGUAUCUCUGUAUCUAGCUAGCUGUUAAACAGCUAAUGUUAGGGAUGUGUUUGUUAGCUAGCAUGUGUGAUUAGCUAAGGCAGUUAGCCGUAGCUUUAAACUCCACAUUCCACUGGAAAUAACAGCUGCAUACUUUAAAAAUGUAUAAUACAAAGCCAAUAAAGAGCCAUGUAUUUUUAGGGCGAUCUGCGUUAGCGCACUAACGGAGAUUUGCCGCGUUAAUGCGGUUAUGGCGUUAACAGCAUUUUAACAAGAUUAACGUUGACAGCACUAGUAUGUUUUUUUCCCCUUCAAUGUAGGUGGGAAGUCAUUGCACUAUCUCUGUGCUAGUGCACAUUCACUACAAAGGAGACAGUAUAAAACAAUGCACUACUGUACAUACACUUUACUACUUAGACUGCAUACGUGCACUUUAAAUUCAUGUCAUCUAUAGUAACCAAGCAUUCAUGUGUUACCAAGAAGUAUUUAAAUGUAUUAAAAAAAACCCACACACGAAUGUGCAGUUAGCACAUUUGAGUAUCGAUGCUAAAUGUAAGAAUGUAGCUAAAACCAUAAGGUGCAUUGAUCUUCAGACAAGCCGUGACAGUCAAAGCCAGUUGCACGCACUCACACACACACACACACACACACACACUUUUAAUCUCUUGUAAGUGAAUUCAAGAAUGCAGCUACCCAAGCUGUCAAGGCAUGAAGUGCAGUCGCCCACGAUCCUUCAAACAGACACGUGCGUUGACUGAAAGUUAAUCAGACACGUCCCUCCACCCCCUGCACGCACAAACACACACUCUCAAACCCAUGUAACACUGUAAAAAAAACCCACUUGCUGUAGUGCAUUUUCACACUGAAUCAAAACAGCCUUCUUUUUUUUUUGCCUAAAACCCCCUAGUGGUAGUCAGACCUCGUGCUGUCACUGCUCAUCAGUCAAGCGUAGGAGGGGAGAGCUUUGACUAUCUGCUGCAUGUCACCGCAUGUGUGUGUGCAGCCUUUGAAAGGCCCUGGGGCCUGGGAUAGCUUCCCAGCCUCUUCCCUUAUCCCACUACCUAUUCCACGGGGGAAGGGGGGGGACUCAGCUCUUGAUCCAGGCUUUGACCUUAUGCUGCCCUCCUGUUUUGCCAGGACAGGCACAUAUUGAAGGUGCACACUUACACAUCUACACACUUUGCUAUCUUGUCCCUUGUCACCUUUUACAUAAGGCAGAUUUUCUGCAGUGUUCAUUCAAUCAAAUGUUCAGGCCUAAGCAGAAUUUAACAGUAGUCCUCAAGGUUUAAUUUUGGAAGGGUAAGAUUAGUAACUGAAGAGUCAGCACAAGCCCAAAUCAGUAACAGUACCAAUACCGAAGACC